CCUUCUGGGCUUCAGAGUCCUCAUCUGUACAAUCGGGAAAGCAGCAGAGCCCAUCUCAUAUCACACGGCUGUGAGGAUUAAGUGUUCAUUCCGGAGAACACCUGGCACACACAGAUGGAAAAACUGAGAAUCAGAGAGGGCUAGUGAUCUCUCGGACACUUGGUCAGUAGAAAGGAUCCCGUCUCAUCCUCCAGGAUCCGAUGGCCCUGGAGAGAGGGCUGCAGGGCCCACGGACACUGCUGACUCUUCAGAACGUGCUGACAUGGAGCCAGGUAGACUGAAAUUACCACGUGUCCAAAUUAAAACUGCAUACUUCAAGGAUUAUUUGAAGGAUUAUUCUUAGACCCUUUUAAGAAGAU